GUGGCAGAGCGGUUGAACGCACCGGUCUUGAAAACCGGAGUUCCUUAACGGGAAUCGCGAGUUCGAAUCUCGCCCCCA
rnacentral:tRNA from 1 species